rnacentral:rRNA from 1 species
AUAACAGUUGGAAACGGCUGCUAAUACCGCAUAAGCGCACAGUACCGCAUGGUACAGUGUGAAAAACUCCGGUGGUGUGAGAUGGACCCGCGUCUGAUUAGCUAGUUGGCAGGGCAACGGCCUACCAAGGCGACGAUCAGUAGCCGACCUGAGAGGGUGACCGGCCACAUUGGGACUGAGACACGGCCCAAACUCCUACGGGAGGCAGCAGUGGGGAAUAUUGCACAAUGGGGGAAACCCUGAUGCAGCGACGCCGCGUGAGCGAAGAAGUAUUUCGGUAUGUAAAGCUCUAUCAGCAGGGAAGAAGAAAUGACGGUACCUGACUAAGAAGCACCGGCUAAAUACGUGCCAGCAGCCGCGGUAAUACGUAUGGUGCAAGCGUUAUCCGGAUUUACUGGGUGUAAAGGGAGCGCAGGCGGAAGGCUAAGUCUGAUGUGAAAGCCCGGGGCUCAACCCCGGUACUGCAUUGGAAACUGGUCAUCUAGAGUGUCGGAGGGGUAAGUGGAAUUCCUAGUGUAGCGGUGAAAUGCGUAGAUAUUAGGAGGAACACCAGUGGCGAAGGCGGCUUACUGGACGAUAACUGACGCUGAGGCUCGAAAGCGUGGGGAGCAAACAGGAUUAGAUACCCUGGUAGUCCACGCCGUAAAC